GGCGCUUUGGCGGAGUGGUUAUCGCGCGGGCCUGCUAAGCCCGUUCCUUCGGGAGCCAGGGUUCGAAUCCCUGAGGCGUCG
rfam:Clohesyomyces aquaticus strain CBS 115471 BCR34scaffold_22, whole genome shotgun sequence.